GACGAACGCUGGCGGCGUGCUUAACACAUGCAAGUCGAACGGAAAGGCCCUGCUUUUGUGGGGUGCUCGAGUGGCGAACGGGUGAGUAACACGUGAGUAACCUGCCCUUGACUUUGGGAUAACUUCAGGAAACUGGGGCUAAUACCGGAUAGGAGCUCCUGCUGCAUGGUGGGGGUUGGAAAGUUUCGGCGGUUGGGGAUGGACUCGCGGCUUAUCAGCUUGUUGGUGGGGUAGUGGCUUACCAAGGCUUUGACGGGUAGCCGGCCUGAGAGGGUGACCGGCGACAUUGGGACUGAGAUACGGACCAGACUCCUACGGGAGGCAGCAGUGGGGAAUAUUGCACAAUGGGCGGAAGCCUGAUGCGGCAACGCCGCGUGCGGGAUGACGGCCUUCGGGUUGUAAACCGCUUUCGCCCGUGACGAAGCGUGAGUGACGGUAAUGGGUAAAGAAGCACCGGCUAACUACGUG
rnacentral:rRNA from 1 species